rnacentral:rRNA from 1 species
CCUACGGGGGGCAGCAGUGGGGAAUAUUUGGCAAUGGACGCAAGUCUGACCCAGCAACGCCGCGUGAAGGAAGAAGGCUUUCGGGUUGUAAACUUCUUUUAAGGGGGAAGAGCAGAAGACGGUACCCCUUGAAUAAGCCACGGCUAACUACGUGCCAGCAGCCGCGGUAAUACGUAGGUGGCAAGCGUUGUCCGGAUUUACUGGGUGUAAAGGGCGUGCAGCCGGAGAGACAAGUCAGAUGUGAAAUCCACGGGCUCAACCCCUUCCCGCCAUUGAAACUGGCGCUCUUGAGUGGAAGAGAAGUAUGCGGAAUGCGUGGUGUAGCGGUGAAAUGCAUAGAUAUCACGCAGAACCCCGAUUGCGAAGGCAGCAUGCCGGCUUCCUACUGACGCUGAAGCACGAAAGCGUGGGGAUCGAACAGGAUUAGAUACCCUUGUAGUC